rnacentral:rRNA from 1 species
GACAGAGGUUGCAAACGUUGUUCGGAAUUACUGGGCAUAAAGCGCACGUAGGUGGUCCGCUAAGUCGUGUGUGAAAUGCCCCGGCUCAACCGGGGAAUUGCGCACGAUACUGGCGGGCUAGAGGUCGGGAGGGGUGAGUGGAACUCCAGGUGGAGCGGUGAAAUGCGUAGAUAUCUGGAGGAACACCGGUGGCGAAAGCGGCUCACUGGCUCGGUACUGACGCUGAGGUGCGAAAGCGUGGGGAGCAAACAGG